CGCGUAGGUGGUAGUGCAAGUCUGAGGUGGAAUCCCAGGGCUUAACCCUGGAACUGCCUUGGAAACUGCACUACUUGAGUCAGUGAGGGGAGGGUAGAAUUCCUGGUGUAGCGGUGAAAUGCGUAGAUAUCAGGAGGAAGGCCGGUGGCGAAGGCGGCCCUCUGGCGCUGAACUGACACUGAGGCGCGAAAGCGUGGGUAGCAAACAGGAUUAGAUACCCUGGUAGUCCACGCCCUAAACGGUGGGUACUAGGUGUAGGGCUCGUAAGGGUUCUGUGCCGAAGCGAAAGCAUUAAGUACCCCGCCUGGGAGUACGGCCGCAAGGUUGAA
rnacentral:rRNA from 1 species